rnacentral:rRNA from 1 species
UACGUAGGGGGCGAGCGUUGUCCGGAAUUACUGGGCGUAAAGGGUACGUAGGCGGCUAUAUAAGUCAGGUGUGAAAUACCAGUGCUUAACACUGGAAUUGCAUUUGAAACUGUGUAGCUUGAGUGCAGGAGAGGAAAGUGGAAUUCCUAGUGUAGCGGUGAAAUGCGUAGAGAUUAGGAGGAACACCAGUGGCGAAGGCGACUUUCUGGACUGUAACUGACGCUGAGGUACGAAAGCGUGGGUAGCGAACAGGAUUAGAUACC